rnacentral:lncRNA from 1 species
GAUUUGAAAUAUAUAGUUAAACAAUUCGAAGAUGCAUGGAGGAACUAAAUAGGAGAUCCUACGUUACUAUUGUAAUGAUUAAUUCUAAACCGCGACUUAAGCUUUUCUUUUUUAAUGAUAAACCGGGAGUUAAUUUGAUAAGUUUGAGUUUCUUAAUAUAACUAAUAAAGUUGAUUUGAUUUUAAGUUUUAAUUAGACGAGUCAGUUUAACCUAAUUGAUACUUUAAGCCUUUGGUUUGAUGGGAGUUGUAACAGAUAAGCUGUUAUAUCAAUCAAGCUAAUGGACUUUUAAUGACCCCUUAAUAAACAAUAAUUGAGAUCUUGAUUUUCUAUUUAUUUCCUGAUACAAACUUUAUGUUAAUAUCUAAGACAAAAAAAACGUUAAUAAUGUAUUUGAGCAACUCUAUUUUAUGCGAAUAAUAGUCUCGCACGAAUAUAUGUAGGAACUCCAUUUUAUGCGAAUAAUCAUCUAUUACCCAAAUAAUAGAUGAUUUUAAUUUUGAAAAGAAUAUUAAGUAAUAUAAAAUGUUUCAAUAAAAAAAAUAGGGGUAAGCCGU